rnacentral:rRNA from 1 species
GCCAGCAGCCGCGGUAAUACCAGCUCCAGUAGCGUAUGCUAAAGUYGUYGCAGUUARAAAGCUCGUAGUUGUGUUUGUUUCCGCGAGCGRUUUGCGCAGUGUUAAGRCACGGCGCGCGCGGUGCGUCGGAAUGRAAUUUUGGGCUGUGCGGCGCGUGGCCUUUGUUGGUCGUGCGUUUGCGUGGCCCAUCGUUUACUGUGAGAAAAUUAGAGUGUYCAAGRCAGGCGUUUGUAAYUGAAUAUGUUAGCAUGGAAUAAUGAGAUAUGGCUUCCGUUUGUUGGUUUUGUGAUGUGGAAGUAAUGAUUGAUAGGGACRGUUGGGGGUGCURGUAUUCAGCGGCCAGAGGUGAAAUUCAUGGAUUCGCUGAAGACUGACUUUUGCGAAAGCAUUCACCAAGGACGUCCUCYUUAAUCAAGAACGAAAGUUGGGGGAUCGAAGACGAUCAGAUACCGUCGUAGUCUCAACCAUAAACUAUGUCGACUAGCGAUUGGCCGUUGUCUUCAACAGACAYGGUCAGGAGCYUGAGAGAAAUCAAAGUGUUUGGACUCYUGGGGAMGUAUGRUCGCAAGACUGARACUUAAAGGAAUUGACGGAAGGGCACCACCAGGAGUGGAGCCUGCGGCUUAAUUUGACUCAACACGGGAAAACUUACCAGGUCCAGAGAYGUAGAGGAUUGRCAGAUUGARGCUCUUUCUYGAUCACUUCGGUGGUGGUGCAUGRCCGUUCUUAGUUGGUGGAGUGAYUUGUCUGGUUAAUUCCGUU